AUUGAUUAGUAUUUGUGCAUUUUUGGGCACUGUGAAGCCUUGCAUCUCUACUUCGGAUACCGCUUUACGGGGCAGCAGGAGUGGAACUGGUGGGUGCAACCGAAAUGUCUCUUUGACUAUUGCUUGAAGGGUUCAGUAAUAACUCUGUCAUUGCCCACUCCACUGUGCUUGAGGUAGUGUCAGUGCCCCCAAUGAAAAAAUCCUGAUGGAAACACGUAAGACAAUUAAGUUCUGAACUGAAGAAUCAGCAGGGCAUCAAGUAUAUCAUGGCUUGCCUUGGAUGCAACCGAAGAAGAACGUGGUCGUGUCCUCUCGUUGAUGAUACUAUCCAAAAUUUGAGUUAAUCUUUUCAAAUAAUUAUUCGUCUUUCGUCUUACACCUUGUGGAUCUACUAAUCGAAGUAUUGGGAAAUAGUCGGCAAUAUUUGGCUUGCCAAUUUGUUCCGUGACACCAACCACGAGAUCGCUGAAUUCUUGAGACAAAUCAGAAUUGUAAUUGGCUAUAUCAAGAGAGAAGAAGGUGUUUGAAAUUAAAUUAAGGGAAGUUGUGAAAACAGAUCGACGAAUGUCAACAGCGUGUCCGUUGUUGCAAUUUUCAUGAACAUAUUCAAGCAUUUCUUGAACUUUCUUUCCACGGAGGGCUUGGCUGGCAUCAAGCCUUUGCGAAGUGAACAUUUGUGUGGCAGUGAGUUUUCUGAGAAAUUUCCAAUGAGUCGACGCAGGCAACCAUAAGAUUGAGUUUCUGUGGUGUACACGUAGAGCAUCUGGGACUGUUCUGCUAGACAAUGCUUGGUCAUGUUUCUGUAAUGCUUCUUUGGCAAUAUUCGGAGAGGAGAUGACUAUUGUGGUUAUCCUACCAAGCUUGAGGGUCAUUAAAGGUCCAUAAGUUUGUGAGAGUUUAGCAAGUGUUCGGUGGGGCUUGUCACCGAGGGCUAAAAUGUUUCCAAUUAUCGGCAAUUGGCGAGGGCCAGGUGGGAGGACGGUGCAACCGGAGUUCCGGCGAAGUAGAACGGAUGCGUUGAGCACGUGUAGACAUGCCCAACAAAAAGAAAUUAGUAGCAGGUAAAAAAGGAUGCAGCACGUGAACCAAAACAAAAUUUAAGCUUGGAACCAAGUGAAGACACACCAUGAGAGAAUGAAAUUCUGAAUUAUUCAAGGACAAAAUAAUUACCAGACCAAGCAGUGAAAUCAUCUAUCAAUAUUGAAUAUGUACUUUCACUAAUAUAGACUGGAUCCCUUGGAUGAAAUGACACCUCUACCCUUCAUUAGGGAAACAAUUAGCAAGGGAACCCGCUUCCAAUGCAGGCAGAGGCAUGCAUAUCAAUAUACAUGCUCUUCACGAUUCUGCAUCAGUAUAAAUGUUCUUCACGUUUCGAAGAAAACAUUUACCAUUAUUUAAUAUGAAAGAAAUAAACUGAACUUCUCUUC